rnacentral:lncRNA from 1 species
GAUAGCCUACAUUCUGGACCCCAAUUUGUCAGAUAUUUCUGCACCGACUGAUGCAGAUACUGAUGAAGUGAGGGCGACACGUAAAAAAUGCAAGGAGGAUGAACUACUAUGCAGAGGACAUAUUCUCAAUACCUUGUCAGAUAAUUUAUAUGACUUAUUUGCAUCAAUCCAAUCACCAAGAGAAAUAUGGAACUCUCUAGAAGCAAGAUAUAAUACUGAAAAGCAAGGCACAGAUAAGUUUUUAAUUAUGAAAUAUUUUGAAUUUACUAUGGUAGAAAACUUAUCAAUAAUGCAACAAGUACAUGAAUUACAAAUUUUGGUUUCUAAGCUUAAAGAGUUAGAGAUUUCUCUUCCAGAAUCUUUUCAAGUCGGGGCUAUUAUUGCAAAAUUGCCUCGUAACUGGAAUGAUUAUAGAAAGAAACUUUUACACACUACAGAAGAUUUUACUUUAGAGCAAAUUCAGAAACACUUGAGAAUUGAGGAGGAAACUCGGAACCACUACCUAAAAAAUGAUGUUCAAUAUAGCUUUAAAGUAAAUCAAGUAGAUGAAAAUAAAAAUCAAAAGUUUUCUAGAAAUAAGAGAACAUUUUCUGAAUCAAAUAACUCCAAGAUAAAAAAGGACAGGAUUUGUUAUCACUGUGGAAAGAAGGGUCACUAUAAAAGUGAGUGCAGAUACAUGAAGAAAUUUAAGAAGGAAGACACUAAUAAGGCCAACAUGAUUGAACAACAAACCACAGAACUUAUUGCAAUGAUUUCUGACAUGCAUAUAAGCAUGGUUACCGAACUUCACAUGGCAACAGCAAGUAAGUCGCUGGAUUGGUAGUAUGAUUCGGGUGCUACUGUUCAUGUCUGUAACAACAAAUCUCAAUUUAAAGAUUAUGAAGAGGCAGCAGAUGGUCAAGAAGUGUUGAUGGGAAAUCACGGUGCCGCAAAAGUUCUAGGAAAGGGCAGCGUUGAGCUUUUCUUCACUUCUGGAAAGAAACUCUUACUUAUCAAUGUACUCCAUGUUCCAGAUAUUGUAAAAAAUCUUGUGUCUGCAAAUUUGCUGUGUAAAAGAGGGAUAAAAGCUGUACUAGAGUCGGAUAAGGUGAUUCUGUCAAAGAAUGGAGUAUUUGUAGGAAAGGGAUACUCUUAUAAUGGAAUGUUUAAGCUUAGUAUCAAUAAUAAAAAUAAUAAUAUUUCUGCUUGUAUGGUUGAUUGUUCUAUUUCUUUGUGGCAUAAUCGUUUAGCACAUAUAAAUUAUAAUUCCUUAGAAUUUAUGGCUAAAAAUGGUUUAAUUUCAUAUAAUCAUAAUAAUAAAGAAAAUUGUGAAAUAUGCAUUCAAGCUAAAAUGGCUAGAAAACCUUUUCCUAAAGUAGAGAGAAAAAAUAUUGAUUUAUUGGAACUUGUGCAUUCAGAUAUUUGUGAAUUAAAUGGUCAUUUAACUAGAGGUGGAAAUAGAUACUUUAUUACCUUUAUUGAUGACCAUUCUAGAUAUGCAUAUGUUUACUUAAUGAAGCAAAAGGAUCAAGCUUGCAUGCCUGCAGGUCGACUCUAGAGGAUCCCCGGGUACCGAGCUCGAAUUCGCCCUAUAGUGAGUCGUAUUACAAUUCACUGGCCGUCGUUUUACAACGUCGUGACUGGGAAAACCCUGGCGUUACCCAACUUAAUCGCCUUGCAGCACAUCCCCCUUUCGCCAGCUGGCGUAAUAGCGAAGAGGCCCGCACCGAUCGCCCUUCCCAACAGUUGCGCAGCUGAAUGGGCAGUCGCCCACAACCGCCCACAGCCCCGACCGAAUUGAUACGCCGUAGUCUCGUCUAACAUGACUCUCCCGUGGUAUACGCCACACUUUAUGGCGUGUCUACGCAUUCCUCUUUUAUGGCGUAGUCCGCGGUAAGCNAAAGGGAUACUCUUGUAAUGGAAUGUUUAAGCUUAGUAUCAAUAAUAAAAAUAAUAAUAUUUCUGCUUAUAUUGUUGAUUGUUCUAUUUCUUUGUGGCAUAAUCGUUUAGCACAUUUAAUUCACAAAUAUCUGAAUGCACAAGUUCUAAUAGAUGCAUAUAUUUACUUAAUGAAGCAAAAGGAUCAAGCUUUAGAAAUGUUUAAAUGUUAUAAAUCUAUUGUUGAAAAUCAAAAAGAAAAGAAAAUUAAGAUUUUGAGAAGUGAUAGAGGAGGAGAAUACCUCUCUACGGAAUUCUCGAUAUAUUGUGAAGAAAAUGGUAUUAUACACCAAACUAGUGCACCAUACACUCCACAACAUAAUGGAUUGGCAGAAAGAAAGAAUAGGACGUUAGUCGAUAUGGUUAAUGCUAUGAUUUUAAAUGCAAAAUUGCUUUUCAAUUUGUGGGGGGAGGCAUUACUUACAGCCUGUCAUGUGCACAAUAGAAUACCCUCUAGAAAAAUAAAAAUAUCUCCAUAUGAACUAUGGAAAGGAAGAAGUCCAAACUUAAAUUAUCUCAGAGUUUGGGGUUGUUUAGCCUUUUAUAGAGUUCCAGACCCUAAAAGAUAUAAAUUGGGACCUAGAGCUCUAAAAUGUGUGUUUAUAGGAUAUGCUGAAAAUUCUAAAGCAUAUAGAUUACUGGAUUUGGAAUCAAAUGUUAUUAUGGAAUCAAAAGAUGUUGAAUUUUUAGAAAACAAAUUUAUCAAUGAUUCCAAUUCUAUUCCAGAAUCUACACAAACAAAAGUAGCCAGCACUAAUUCUAAUAUAUCUUCUAACUAUAAAAGAAAAAUGACAGUAACUUCUAGUGAACCUAGGAAGAGUCAAAGAGUUAGAAAAGAAAAGAGUUUAGAUCCUGAUUUUGUAUCCUUUCUUGUAGAAGGAAGUAGAAUAAAUGUUCUAAAUAAAAUACCAAUUCUAUUCAAUAUAGAAGAUGAUCCAAAAACAUUUACAGAAGCCAUGACUUCCAGAGAUGCAGCAUUCUGGAAAGAGGCAGUAAAUGAUGAAAUGGAUUCGUUAUUAUCUAAUAAUACUUGGGUUCUAGUUGACUUACCACCUGGAUCAAAAUCAAUUGGAUGCAAAUGGGUAUUUAGAAAAAAGUAUAAUACGAAUGGAUCUAUACAAACGUUUAAAGCAAGAUUAAUAGCUAAAGGAUAUAAGUAAAAAGAGGGUGUGGAUUAUUUUGACACUUUUGCACCAGUGGCUAGGAUAACAUCCAUUAGAGUGUUAUUAGCACUCAGUUCAAUUUAUAAUCUUUUUGUACAUCAAAUGGAUGUUAAAACAGCAUUUUUAAAUGGUGAACUAGAUGAAGAAGUCUACAUGGAUCAACCUGAAGGGUUUGAAUUAUCUGGAAAUGAAAAGAAAGUUUGUAAAUUAAUUAAGUCAUUAUAUGGCUUGAAGCAAGCGCCAAAACAAUGGCAUGAAAAAUUUGAUUCUAUAAUAUUGUCCCAUGGAUUUAAAUACAAUAAUGCAGAUAAAUGCAUUUAUUCUAAAUUCACAGAAGAAUAUGGUGUGAUAAUAUGUUUAUAUAUUGAUGACAUGCUUAUAAUUGGGACAAAUAUGAAUGGGAUAAAUGAAACAAAGAAAUAUCUAACUUCUAUAUUCAAAAUGAAAGAUUUAAAUGAAGUAGAUACUAUCUUGGGAAUAAAAGUGAAAAAACACAGUGGAGGUUAUGCUUUAUCUCAGAUGCACUAUAUUGAGAAAAUGAUUUUAAAAUAUAAUCAUUUAGGAAUUAAAGAAGUAAGUACACCAUAUGAUGUUUCUGUUAAAUUAGUUGAAAAUUCUGGAAGAGCGAUUACUCAAAUAGAAUAUGCAAGUGCAAUAGGCAGUCUGAUGUAUGCAGCGCAUUGCACUAGACCACAUAUCGCAUUUGCAGUCUGCAAACUUUCUAGAUAUACAAGUAAUCCUAGUACUGAUCAUUGGAAGGCUAUAAGUAGAGUUUUUGGAUAUCUUAAAAGAACUAAAAACUUGGGAUUAUUUUAUAAUAAUUUUC